rnacentral:hammerhead_ribozyme from 1 species
AUCCAGCUGACGAGUCCCAGACAGAACGGAACGCGCGUCCUGGAU